rnacentral:lncRNA from 1 species
CACACACACACCCCACCACCCCCAAAUAAGCCACUGUGGUCACUUUAGGAGGAGCAGACAGCAGCGACUGGCACUGGGGGUAGAGACCGGAGGGCUGCAGAUGGGCCGAGGCCGCGUCGCCGCGCGCUUUCGGGGGCGCAGCGCGGAGGCUUAGGCGGGGGGCCCGGCGCCCGCCCGGGUGGCGGCUGCGGCGGCGGCAGGAGCCUCCCGGAGCCCGGCUUCCCGCAGAAUUCUGCAGCCCGCGCCUCGAGGCAAUCACGUCCACCCGAGAGCUCCGCUCCAAGCGCCUCGCUUUAGAAGCUGGAGCUUUGGAGGUUCUGGGGACCGUCCCCGGGGGAGCGGGGGCCAGGCUGGGCGGCUGUCGCGUCCCCUCGGGCUCCUGCUGGGUACCCGGGGAGAGAACGCCAGAAAUGGCUUUGCUGCCGAAUGCAUCCUCUUGCCGUGUUCGUGUCCCGACACGGCCCACGCGAUCGCCUGAUCGAUCGGAAAUAGGAGGGAAAGGCAGAGUGGAAAUUGAUUUCUUGCAGAGACUGAGGCGCCGAAUGAUAGAGGGAAUAAACAUUUGCCCUGGAUAAAAAUGUUCUUGGCUGUGUUCCAACCCUAAUAAGGACCUGCAGCAGAAGUUUUUCUUCAGUCAUCUAAUGUUAUCCAAAAGAUUACUUGUGUGUUAUAUCUCUUUUUACACAUGCUGACAAAUGUUGGUAGGGGGAUCUGAGAUCCACACAAGGAGGAUGAAUGCUCUGAAUUACAUUUGUUACAAAUUCAACCUUAACAAUUGUGAUAUACAGAUAUACAAUCUUCAUAAGCUGCCUAAACCUACUUACCUAAAUUGCUAUUCAAAGAAAUACAGUAAUUUGUUGAAGACCCAACCUAAGUUAGGAAAUGUAACAUUUGUGAAAUAAAUGUAAGGUUGUUGUUCUUUUAAAUAUUUGA